AAUGGGCGAAAGCCUGACCCAGCAACGCCGCGUGAAGGAAGAAGGUUUUCGGAUCGUAAACUUCUAUCCUUGGUGAAGAUAAUGACGGUAGCCAAGAAGGAAGCCCCGGCUAACUACGUGCCAGCAGCCGCGGUAAUACGUAGGGGGCAAGCGUUGUCCGGAAUGAUUGGGCGUAAAGGGCGCGUAGGCGGCCUGGUAAGUCUGGAGUGAAAGUCCUGCUUUUAAGGUGGGAAUUGCUUUGGAUACUGCUGGGCUUGAGUGCAGGAGAGGUAAGUGGAAUUCCCGGUGUAGCGGUGAAAUGCGUAGAGAUCGGGAGGAACACCAGUGGCGAAGGCGACUUACUGGACUGUAACUGACGCUGAGGCGCGAAAGUGUGGGGAGCAAA
rnacentral:rRNA from 1 species